CGGCGAGUGAAGCGGCAACAGCUCAAAUUUGAAAUCUGGCCCCCCGGCCCGAGUUGUAAUUUGCAGAGGAUGCUUCUGGCGCGGUGCCUUCCAAGUCCCCUGGAACGGGGCGCCAUAGAGGGUGAGAGCCCCGUCCGGUUGGCCGCCAAGCCUGUGUGAAGCUCCUUCGACGAGUCGAGUAGUUUGGGAAUGCUGCUCUAAACGGGAGGUAGACCCCUUCUAAAGCUAAAUACCGGCCAGAGACCGAUAGCGCACAAGUAGAGUGAUCGAAAGAUGAAAAGCACUUUGAAAAGAGGGUUAAACAGUACGUGAAAUUGUUGAAAGGGAAGCGCUUGUGACCAGACGUGCGCCGGGUGUUCAGCGGGCGUUUUCGCCCGUGCAUUCGCCCCGGCGCAGGCCAGCGUCGGUUUGGGCGGGGGGAUAAAGGCGCCAGGAACGUAUCUCCCCCGGGAGUGUUAUAGCCUGGCGCGCCAUGCCCCCGCCUGGACCGAGGUUCGCGCUCCGCAAGGACGCUGGCGUAAUGGUCCCCAGCGGCCCGUCUUGAAACACGGACCAAGGAGUCGAGGUUCUACGCGAGUGUCUGGGUGUCAAACCCGCACGCGUAAUGAAAGUGAACGCAGGUGGGAGCUUCGGCGCACCACCGACCGAUCCUGAUGUUUUCGGAUGGAUUUGAGUAGGAGCGUAGGGCCUCGGACCCGAAAGAUGGUGAACUAUACUUGGAUAGGGUGAAGCCAGAGGAAACUCUGGUGGAGGCUCGCAGCGGUUCUGACGUGCAAAUCGAUCGUCAAAUCUGAGUAUGGGGGCGAAAGACUAAUCGAACCAUCUAGUAGCUGGUUACCGCCGAAGUUUCCCUCAGGAUAGCAGUGUUGGUCUCAGUUUUAUGAGGUAAAGCGAAUGAUUAGGGACUCGGGGGCGCUAUAUUGCCUUCAUCCAUUCUCAAACUUUAAAUAUGUAAGAAGCCCUUGUUGCUUAAUUGAACGUGGGCCUUCGAAUGCAGCAACACUAGUGGGCCAUUUUUGGUAAGCAGAACUGGCGAUGUGGGAUGAACCAUACGGGGGGUUAAGGUGCCGGAGUGGACGCUCAUCAGACACCACAAAAGGCGUUAGCACAUCUUGACAGCAGGACGGUGGCCAUGGAAGUCGGAAUCCGCUAAGGACUGUGUAACAACUCACCUGCCGAAUGUGCUAGCCCUGAAAAUGGAUGGCGCUCAAGCGUCCCACCCAUACCCCCCCCUCAGGGUAGAAACGAUGCCCUGAGGAGUAGGCGGCCGCAGCG
rnacentral:rRNA from 1 species